rnacentral:rRNA from 1 species
CCCUUAGAUGUUCUGGGCCGCACGCGCGCUACAAUGAUGAAUUCAACGAGUUUAUAACCUUGGUUGAAAAGCCUGGGUAAUCUUUUGAACUUUCGUCGUGAUGGGGCUAGACCCUUGCAAUUAUUGGUCUCCAACGAGGAAUUCCUAGUAAACGCAAGUCAUCAGCUUGCAUUGAUUACGUCCCUGCCCUUUGUACACACCGCCCGUCGCACCUACCGAUUGAAUGGUCCGGUGAAAUCUUCGGAUUGAGACUUUGAUUUCUUCACGGAAAACGCUGUUUCAAGAAGUUGAUUAAACCUUACCAUUUAGAGGAAGGUGAAGUCGUAACA